GCAAGUCGAACGAAGCAUAGCAGCUUGCUGUUAUGACUGAGUGGCAAACGGGUGAGUAACGCGUGGGUAUCUACCUAUGAGAGGGGGAUAACUUUGGGAAACCAAAGCUAAUACCGCAUAAGCCCUGAGGAGGAAAGGAGCAAUCCGCUGAUAGAUGAGCCCGCGUUAGAUUAGGUAGUUGGUGGGGUAAUGGCCUACCAAGCCUACGAUCUAUAGCUGGUUUGAGAGGAUGAUC
rnacentral:rRNA from 1 species